GCCCCCGUAGCUCAAUGGACAGAGCACCUGACUUCGAAUCAGUAGGUUGAGAGUUCGAAUCUCUCCGAGGGCG
rnacentral:tRNA from 1 species